GUAGGUCCCGAGCGUUGUCCGGAUUUAUUGGGCGUAAAGCGAGCGCAGGCGGUUUAAUAAGUCUGAAGUUAAAGGCAGUGGCUUAACCAUUGUUCGCUUUGGAAACUGUUAAACUUGAGUGCAGAAGGGGAGAGUGGAAUUCCAUGUGUAGCGGUGAAAUGCGUAGAUAUAUGGAGGAACACCGGUGGCGAAAGCGGCUCUCUGGUCUGUAACUGACGCUGAGGCUCGAAAGCGUGGGGAGCAAACAGGAUUAGAUACCCUGGUAGUCCACGCCGUAAACGAUGAGUGCUAGGUGUUAGGCCCUUUCCGGGGCUUAGUGCCGCAGCUAACGCAUUAAGCACUCCGCCUGGGGAGUACGACCGCAAGGUUG
rnacentral:rRNA from 2 species